GACGAACGCUGGCGGCGUGCUUAACACAUGCAAGUCGAACGGAAAGGCCCUGCUUUUGCGGGGUGCUCGAGUGGCGAACGGGUGUGUAACACGUGAGUAACCUGCCCUUGACUUUGUGAUAACUUCAGGCAACUGGGGAUAAUACCUGAUAGGAGCUCCUGCUGCUUGGGGGUGGUCGGAAAGUUUCGGCGGUGGGGGAUGGAUUCGCGGGUUACCAGCUGGUUGGGGGGGUAGUUGCAUACCAAGGCUUCGACGGAUAGGCGGCCCGGGAGGGUGGACGGCGUCAAUGCGCCUAAGAUACGGCGCAGUCUCCUACGGGCGGCAGCAGUCGGGAGUCUUACACAAUGAGCGGGCGCCUGAGGCGACAACGCCGCGUGCGGGAUGCCGGCCUACGGGUUGUAAACCGCUUUCGCCUGAGACGAAGCGUGAGUGACGGUAAUGGGUAAAGAAGCACCGGCUAACUACGUG
rnacentral:rRNA from 1 species